rnacentral:rRNA from 1 species
CAGCCGCCGCGGUAAUACGUAGGGUGCGAGCGUUAUCCGGAAUUAUUGGGCGUAAAGAGCUCGUAGGCGGUUUGUCGCGUCUGUCGUGAAAGUCCGGGGCUUAACCCCGGAUCUGCGGUGGGUACGGGCAGACUAGAGUGCAGUAGGGGGACUGGAAUUCCUGGUGUAGCGGUGGAAUGCGCAGAUAUCAGGAGGAACACCGAUGGCGAAGGCAGGUCUCUGGGCUGUAACUGACGCUGAGGAGCGAAAGCAUGGGGAGCGAACAGGAUUAGAUACCCUGGUAGUCCAUGCCGUAAACGUUGGGCACUAGGUGUGGGGACCAUUCCACGGUUUCCGCGCCGCAGCUAACGCAUUAAGUGCCCCGCCUGGGGAGUACGGCCGCAAGGCUAAAACUCAAAGGAAUUGACGG